AUUGAACGCUGGCGGCAGGCCUAACACAUGCAAGUCGAACGAGUGGCGGACGGGUGAGUAAUUUCUGGGAAACUGCCCGAUGGAGGGGGAAAACUACGGUAAACGGGAGCUAAUACCGCAUACCAUCGGAUGUGCCCAGUUGGGAUUAGCUAGUAGGUGGGGUAACGGCUCACCUAGGAGACGAUCCCUAGCGGGUCUGAGAGGAUGAUCAUCCACACUGGAACUGAGAGACGGUCCAGACUCCUACGGGAGGCAGCAGUGGGGAAUAUUGCACAAUGGGCGCAAGCCUGAUGCAGCCAUGCCGCGUGUAUGAAGAAGGCCUUCGGGUUGUAAAGUACUUUCAGCGGGGAGGCGUUACCCGCAGAAGAAGCACCGGCUAACGCCGUGCCAGCAGCCGCGGUAAUUC
rnacentral:rRNA from 1 species